rnacentral:rRNA from 1 species
AAGGCGACGAUCUGUAGCGGGUCUGAGAGGAUGAUCCGCCACACUGGAACUGAGACACGGUCCAGACUCCUACGGGAGGCAGCAGUGGGGAAUUUUGGACAAUGGGGGCAACCCUGAUCCAGCCAUGCCGCGUGAGUGAAGAAGGCCUUCGGGUUGUAAAGCUCUUUCGGCCGGGAAGAAAUCGCAUGGGUCAAUACCCUGUGUGGAUGACGGUACCGGAAUAAGAAGCACCGGCUAACUACGUGCCAGCAGCCGCGGUAAUACGUAGGGUGCGAGCGUUAAUCGGAAUUACUGGGCGUAAAGCGUGCGCAGGCGGUUUUGUAAGACAGGCGUGAAAUCCCCGGGCUUAACCUGGGAACUGCGUUUGUGACUGCAAGGCUAGAGUACGGCAGAGGGGGGUGGAAUUCCACGUGUAGCAGUGAAAUGCGUAGAGAUGUGGAGGAACACCAAUGGCGAAGGCAGCCCCCUGGGUCGAUACUGACGCUCAUGCACGAAAGCGUGGGUAGCAAACAGGAUUAGAUACCCUGGUAGUCCACGCCCUAAACUAUGUCAACUAGGUGUUGGGUGGGUAAAACCAUUUAGUACCGUAGCUAACACGUGAAGUUGACCGCCUGGGGAGUACGGCCGCAAGGUUAAAACUCAAAGGAAUUGACGGGGACCCGCACAAGCGGUGGAUGAUGUGGAUUAAUUCGAUGCAACGCGAAAAACCUUACCUACCCUUGACAUGCCAGGAACUUGCCAGAGAUGGCUUGGUGCCCGAAAGGGAGCCUGGACACAGGUGCUGCAUGGCUGUCGUCAGCUCGUGUCGUGAGAUGUUGGGUUAAGUCCCGCAACGAGCGCAACCCUUGUCGUUAAUUGCCAUCAUUUGGUUGGGCACUUUAACGAGACUGCCGGUGACAAACCGGAGGAAGGUGGGGAUGACGUCAAGUCCUCAUGGCCCUUAUGGGUAGGGCUUCACACGUCAUACAAUGGUCGGUACAAAGGGUUGCCAAGCCGCGAGGCGGAGCCAAUCCCAGAAAGCCGAUCGUAGUCCGGAUUGCAGGCUGCAACUCGCCUGCAUGAAGUCGGAAUCGCUAGUAAUCGUGGAUCAGCAUGUCACGGUGAAUACGUUCCCGGGUCUUGUACACACCGCCCGUCACACCAUGGGAGCGGGUUCCGCCAGAAGUAGGUAGCCUAACCGCAAGGGGGGCGCUUACCACGGCGGGGUUCGUGACUGGGGUGAAGUCGUAACAAGGUA